GACACGGUGACAGUUAAUACCCUAUUCCGUUCAGGGGUUCUGCAUUCUGCAGGUCCUGUUUGCAGCCCUUUUCAAGCCCAUUUCUUUCUGGUUGAGCCGCUGUUUCCUCUUUCAUGGUUUUCACCUCAUGAUCUCCAACCUCAGCUCCAAAUGUGGUUUGUCUUCUCCCCCAUCAUCCCAUCUUAUGGCUGUAAUUCACAGUGGCAUGUGUUAAUUACACCCACGCAGAGUUGUUUAAGGGCAUGCUGGGCAUCAUUAUCAUGUUUUAAAUUAUGUCCUCUCUUCUGGUCUCAGUUUGCAGCUCAGUGGGUUUUAAGGAUUGUUGGGACUCCUCUAAUCGGUGGUGUGAGGCCUGUGGAGCAGCUAAUGGAACAUCACGACUAUGCUGACUUCCCCAGGGUGGCAGCAGAGAGCUGCAGCGCUCCCGAGUGCUGUAAGGACUGCACGGAGAGACGUGCGGGUCUUCACGGGAACAGCCAGGAACCGAAAGCUGCAUUUCCCGGGAUGCCCUGGAGCUCCACUUUGCUGACUGGUAAUUGUCUGCCCAGCAGGUGGCAGCAGAGAGCUGCAGCGCUCCCGAGUGCUGUAAGGACUGCACGGAGAGAUGUGCGGGUCUUCACGGGAACAGCCAGGAACCGAAAGCUGCAUUUCCCGGGAUGCCCUGGAGCUCCACUUUGCUGACUGGUAAUUGUCUGCCAGCAGGUAAGGACAAUGCACACCCACCAGUGUUUACCCCUUACUGAGUGAGACACAAGGUAGGGUUCCCAGAGCUCCUUUCUGCACUUCAGGGUUCCCCAAAGGCUGCCCGUCCUAUUCUUUGCACGUUCUCCUUGGCUCUGGCCUUUCACGGUGGUGUUCUCCUUCCCUUUGCCCUUGGCGUUCCCUACUACAUUCUCUUGUCCUCUUGUUUUUGCAUUCCUUGUCAUGUUCUCUUGGCCAUUGCCUUUGGCCUUCUUUGCGGCAUUCUUUUUGGCCUCCGGUUUUGGCAUUCCCUGCUGCGUUCUCUUUGGCCAUCACUUCUGGUGUUCCAUGCAGUGUUCUAUUUGGCCUUAUGUUUUUGCCAUCCAUGCCACGUUCUCCUGGCCAUUGCGUUUGACCGCCUUUGCCACAUUCUCUUUGGCGUUGCCUUCCAUGUUCUCUUUGACCUUUGCCCUUGGCCUUCUUUGCCGUGCUCCUUUCAGCCUCCUGUCGUGGCAUUCUCUGCGACGAUCUCUUUGGCCUUUGGUUUUGGCAUUCCUUGUUGCGUUCUGUUUGGCCUUUGCCUUUGGCCUUCUUGUUUUGGCAUUCCCUACAGCGUUCUCUUCGGUCUUUGGUUUUGGCCUUCUGUGCUGCAUUCUCUUUGGCCAUUGCCCUUGGCCUCCUGCAUCGGCCUUCCCUGCAGCGUUCUCAUGGACCUCGCCCUCCAUUUUGGCCUUGCCACGGUGUUCUCUUUGGUCUCUGUUUUGUUCUCUGAGGCCCUCUCUUUGGGCCUGCCCUCUGAGGAGGUCUUCUCUUUGGUGUUCUCCAUACCUUUGCUUUCACUGUGCCUUUGACGUUGCCUUCCCUUGGUUGUUGUCUAUGCCUUUGCCCUCGGUUUUGGUGUUCCCUCGGGUGUUGUUGCCUUUGCCUUGGCCUUCCCUACCAGUCCCUUUGAGCAUAACCCUAAUAAACCUAACCCUUAUACCUUCACCCCAAUCCUAAUGAGCUCUGAACUCCAAACAUAGUGCUAAUCUGAUGCAACACCCUCAGCAAACUUACCAAAGGUGCACUCCAUGCCAUCAGGCAGGUCUUCAAUGAAGAUAUUGGACAGAACAGGCCUGAAGAGCACUCAGGAUGGCAUACCAGCUGCAUUUAACACGAUGGAGCAGCACUCAUUAGGCCAGGCGGUUCAGCUACUUCUUCAUCUAGCAAGCAGCGUACCCGUCCAAGUAGCCGGCUGCAAUCUUUCAGAGAAUUUUGAGGGAUAGCACAUCAAAGGCUUUGCCUCACUCAGGGGGUUGGGUCACCUUCGCUUUGAGAUUGCUAGCGUGGCUGACCCUAAUCCCGUAACUGACAUCCCGUAGCUGGACAGGGACCAUUCGCACUCCAUCCAGGCUGUUUGAGACUCACGGCCAUGCUGAGAGUCACACUGAUUUCAGCGCGUGCAGUCAUUUUGCAUCAACCCAAUUGGCUUUAGCUUUACAAAUAAUUUAUCUCAACCAAAUUGGCUUUAGCUUUGCAGUUAAUGCAUUGCAAAUAAGUUGGCUUUAGCUUUGCCUUGCUUACGGGGUUGGGUUAGCUUUGCUUUGUUUGUUUGUACCGCAGGGCUAACCCAACCCCGUAACCAACGCCCGAGGCCUUCGGAGCCCAUUUGCGCUCCUUCCCGGCCAGUCUGAGACUCGCGCCCCUUUGUGGCCAUUCUGAGAGUUGUGCCGAUUUUGGCAGGUGCAGUCAAUUGAUCUUGCCCAAAUUGGCUUUAGCUUUGCAAUCAAUUGAUCUUGCCCAAAUUGGCUUUAGCUUUGCAAUCAACUGAUCUUGCCCAAAUUGGCUUUAGCUUUGCAAUCAAUUGAUCUCAGCCAAAUUGGCUUUAGCUUAGCCUUGCUUACGGGGUUGGGUUAGCUUUGCUUUGUUUGUUUGUACCGCAGGGCUAACCCAACCCCGUAACCAACGCCUGAGGCCAUUGGAGCCCAUUUGCGCUCCUUCCCGGCCAGUCUGAGACUCGCGCCCCUUUGCGGCCAUUCUGAGAGUUGUGCCGAUUUUGGCAGGUGCAGUCAAUUUGUCUUGCCCAAAUUGGCUUUAGCUUUGCAAUCAAUUGAUCUCAGCCAAAUUGGCUUUAGCUUAGCCUUGCUUACGGGGUUGGGUUAGCUUUGCUUUGUUUGUUUGUACCGCAGGGCUAACCCAACCCCGUAACCAACAGAGCCCAUUUGCGCUCCUUCCCGGCCAGUCUGAGGCUUGCAUUUACUUCAGGUGGGCUGAGAUGUGCUCUGCUCUUGAGGUGGGUUGCAGUACACAAUAUUAGUGUAAAUGUAAUGUUAUUUAUUGGAUAUGGAGGCUUUGUGACCUUUGUCUUGUGAAUCGGACAUAUGUGUUAUAUGUAAACCAUGCCUUAAAAUGUAUGGAGUGCGCGGGUGCUGCGCCUGUAAACGGUGUCUUGCAAUUGUAUGGAAUCAGUGUAUUCAUGUUUUGUUUGUCAACAUGUAGGCAUUGCUGUAGUGUGCAUACAAUUGUAUGAGUCAUGUCUUGAGGAAACAGUGCUGUAAUGAACAAAUACUUGUGCAAUCUAAUUCAGUGGUGUGCCUUGAUUCAACAUUACCAGGUCACAGAUCCCACUUGAAGCUAAGUGCAACAGGUAGGUGUGAAGGUAAGGUAGACUGUGAGACAUUGGGUUAGACUUAGGUGUUAGGUGGUAG